rnacentral:lncRNA from 1 species
AGGAUCCUACAUUCAAUAUUGGGGAUUCAGAGCGUCUGGAUGGAGCCAGCCUGUCCAACAGAGGGGCAGCCAGGACAUCUCUGCCCUCUUCUCAUCCCCCAGCCACAGUGGCCAAAGAGGCCCCCACUAGGCACUGUGGCUCUGCAUGACAAACGCACAUCCAGCCCAGGACUCUAAGCCUCUCACCUGGACUCCAGUAAAAACCUUGCUGAGCCUCCUUGUCUAUCCUUCCUCCCCCACCCACCAUUGUAAAGUUUAUGUCACCAGAAU